rnacentral:rRNA from 1 species
AGAGUUUGAUCCUGGCUCAGGAUGAACGCUGGCGGCGUGCUUAACACAUUCAAGUCGAACGAAGAUUCUUCGACGAAAUUGAAUUACCUGCUGAGGGGUGAAUAAAAGUUGACUUACCGGCCCAAUGGUGAGUAAUACCUGUUCAAACUGAAUAUUACUACCCCAAUAAGCAUUGUGGAUCCGACUGAAACAACCAAUAUAAUAGAACGAUCUCCCUAUGGGAUAGUGACCCCCGAUAUUUUAACUAGUGAGAGAGGCCCCCGCUCAACUAGGCAACUAUGCAUAUCCCACCUGAGAGGGUGAUCGAUCACUUUGCGACUGAAACACGGCCCCGACUCCUUUGGGACGGAGCAGUGGGCAAUAUUGCCUAGUGAGAGGCAAACCCUGAUGCAUACUGCGACCGCGUGAGUAAUGCACUGGAUCUUCGCGAUCUGCUAACGUUCUGUACUUACAGUGUAUGAUGAUGACGGUACCUGAGGAGGAAGCCACGGCUAACUACGUGCCAGCAGCCGCGGUAAUCAGUAGUUGGCAAGCGUUGUCCGGAUUUACUGGGCGUAAAGGGAGCGUAGGCGGACUUUUAAGUGGGAUGUGAAAUACCCGGGCUCAACGGUGGGUGCUGCAUUCCAAACUGGAAGUCUAGAGUACAGGAGGGGAAAGCGGAAUUCCUAGUGUAGCGGUGAAAUGCGUAGAGAUUAGGAAGAACACCGGUGGCGAAGGCGGCUUUCUGGACAGUAACUGACGCUGAGGCUCGAAAGCGUGGGAGCGAACAGGAUUAGAUACCCAUGGUAGUCCACGCCGUA